AUGGCUUCUUGGGCGGAGACGGCGCCGGCCGGCGAGGAGCUGGACUGGGCGGCGCACACCGCGCACAUCCGUGCGCAGCUGGAGCGCGCACAACACCGAUUCAAGAAGAACGCUGACCGCAACCGCACCGAGAGGCACUUUCAGGAGGGCGAACAAGUGUUGCUCAAGCUCCAGCCGUAUGCGCAGCGUUCGGUGGUCAAUCGCCCCUGCGCCAAGCUCGCCUUCAAGUAUUUUGGCCCGUUCAAGAUUACCGAGAAGAUUGGCGCACUCGCUUACAAGCUCGACCUGCCGCCAGACAGCCAAGUCCACCCUGUCUUUCACGUGUCGCAGCUGAAGCCCUUCACCCCCGACUACACGCCGGUGUACGGUGAACUUCCCAAGGCGCUGGACCUCUCCGUCGACAACCUCCUGCCAACCCGCAUCCUGGACAGGCGCAUGAUGAAGCACGGCGACGCGCCGGUGGUGCAGCUCAAGGUUCAGUGGGGCACCGGUGACUCCGCGCCGACGACAUGGGAGGACCACGACGUGCUGCGCACCCGCUUCCCAGCGGCAUCACUGUGGGCGGAAGCGGAGAACGACGACGAUACUGACGAAGAAGAUGAAGACACGUCUUAA
rnacentral:rRNA from 1 species